GACGAACGCUGGCGGCGUGCCUAACACAUGCAAGUCGAACGGGACCGGGGGCAACUCCGGUUCAGUGGCGGACGGGUGCGUAACACGUGAGGAACAUGACCUUCGGCGGGGGAGUAGCCGGCCCAACGGCCGGGUAAUACCGCGUACGACCUUUCGGGGACAUCCUCGGAUGGUGAAAGCAGCAAUGCGCCGAUGGAGUGCCUCGCGGCCUAUCAGCUAGUUGGUGGGGUAAACGGCCCACCAAGGCGACGACGGGUAGCUGGUCUGAGAGGAUGGCCAGCCACAUUGGGGACUGAGACACGGCCCAGACUCCUACGGGAGGCAGCAGUC
rnacentral:rRNA from 1 species